AGUCGAGCGGGGUUUUCGGACCUAGCGGCGGACGGGUGAGUAAUGCGUAGGAAGCUGCCCGAUAGAGGGGGAUACCAGUUGGAAACGACUGUUAAUACCGCAUAAUGUCUACGGACCAAAGUGUGGGACCUUCGGGCCACAUGCUAUCGGAUGCGCCUACGUGGAAUUAGCUAGUUGGUGAGGUAAUGGCUCACCAAGGCGACGAUCUCUAGCUGGUUUGAGAGGAUGAUCAGCCACACUGGAACUGAGACACGGUCCAGACUCCUACGGGAGGCAGCAGUGAGGAAUAUUGGACAAUGGGCGCAAGCCUGAUCCAGCCAUGCCGCGUGUGUGAAGAAGGCCUUCGGGUUGUAAAGCACUUUCAGCGAGGAGGAAGGGAUGUAUGUUAAUAGCAUGCAUUUUUGACGUUACUCGCAGAAGAAGCACCGGCUAACUCUGUGCCAGCAGCCGCGGUAAUACAGAGGGUGCAAGCGUUAAUCGGAAUUACUGGGCGUAAAGCGCACGUAGGCGGUUGGUUAAGUUGGAUGUGAAAGCCCCGGGCUCAACCUGGGAAUUGCAUUCAAAACUGGCCAACUAGAAUACGGGAGAGGGGGGUAGAAUUCCAAGUGUAGCGGUGAAAUGCGUAGAGAUUUGGAGGAAUACCAGUGGCGAAAGCGGCCCCCUGGCCCGAUAUUGACGCUGAGGUGCGAAAGCGUGGGG
rnacentral:rRNA from 1 species